AGCAUUGUGAAUCCGUGUAGAGAUUUUGUCAGACACCAACCCAUUAGGACUGAUCAGACUUCCAAGAUAAGUAAAGUU
rfam:Schistosoma mansoni, Puerto Rico, WGS project CABG01000000 data, contig: 0126